UACAGCACGUCGCUCCAAUAAAUCAUAUGAUUGUGUGUCCUUGGAUCAAAUCUGUCAAAUGAGUUAGAAGCUGAUGUGCAGUUUGUUCCAAACACUGUGAAUCAAGCGUAGAAGUGGCAGGUGUGCCACCUGUCGAAACAGGGGUGAAACGCACCGAAGCUUCGCUUCACUAUGGUCACGUGACAUUGACGUUUUGAACGACGCUUUGGAGCAGUGUUUCGAAACGUCUGUUCUUCGGGAUCUUGACACAGCGUCGACACGUCAGUAUCGAGCGUCCCAUCCCUAGCUUUUCAACGAUAGUGACUACUGAGGAACACCAAGGGGCUGAAAAGUUACACCGUGGAGGCUUUAUUACUGCUGGACAGGUCACCUGCAGAUUUGGAGUCUUUCAUAGCCCUGCACUUCUCACCAGUACACUGAUCGGGCCAUGCUGGCUGGCCUGGAUUACAACCACCAUGUCCACAGUCCAGCCAGGAGAAAAGCUGAUGACACAGUUCAGUACAGCAAGGUAUACAACAAAAAGUCCAGGAAGUGGAGCUUGUACUCAUUGAAGGUGGC